rnacentral:rRNA from 1 species
AUACGGAGGAUCCGAGCGUUACCCGGAUUUAUUGGGUUUAAAGGGAGCGUAGGUGGACAGUUAAGUCAGUUGUGAAAGUUUGCGGCUCAACCGUAAAAUUGCAGUUGAUACUGGCUGUCUUGAGUACAGUAGAGGUGGGCGGAAUUCGUGGUGUAGCGGUGAAAUGCUUAGAGAUCACGAAGAACUCCGAUUGCGAAGGCAGCUCACUGGACUGCAACUGACACUGAUGCUCGAAAGUGUGGGUAUCAAACAGGAUUAGAUACCCUGGUAGUCCACACAGUAAACGAUGAAUACUCGCUGUUUGCGAUAUACAGUAAGCGGCCAAGCGAAAGCAUUAAGUAUUCCACCUGGGGAGUACGCCGGCAACGGUGAAACUCAAAGGAAUUGACGGGG